UACGGUAGGGUGCAAGCGUUAAUCGGAAUUACUGGGCGUAAAGCGUGCGCAGGCGGUGAUGUAAGACAGUUGUGAAAUCCCCGGGCUCAACCUGGGAACUGCAUCUGUGACUGCAUCGCUGGAGUGCGGCAGAGGGGGAUGGAAUUCCGCGUGUAGCAGUGAAAUGCGUAGAUAUGCGGAGGAACACCGAUGGCGAAGGCAAUCCCCUGGGCCUGCACUGACGCUCAUGCACGAAAGCGUGGGGAGCGAACAGG
rnacentral:rRNA from 1 species